rnacentral:lncRNA from 1 species
UGCGCACUGGAACCAGGCGUGCGGCGCCCCAGGCGCCGGGCCUGCGGCGGCCGGAACCGGAACGCGCGCCCGCGGGGUAGGAGACCUGGAGCUGGAGAACCCGCCCGCCAGAGUCGUAGUAGUGGAUGGGGAGUAGCCGUCCCAUUUUCAACACAUGUCUCAUUCUAAAUUGACGUUUUGGUGGGCUGGCCGAAGAAGGAGAAAGACCCGCGGCUCCGACCUCUGACCUCUAACCCCGGACGCACUUUGAUUUCGCCGGCUUGCGCGGAAGGCUGACUCCCUGGGCCGCGGCCUGGCGCGGGAGCCGCCUGUGGGGUGUCCCCGGCGCGGGAGGGUGCUCUGGUUCAGGCCCGCUGCCCAGGUAUGCACAAGUCAAGGCCUUUUCUGCAGACCAAGUAGCCUUCCCUGGAGAGCGCCCCCAGCACCACGGAAACUACCUACAUGCCCCGCGGUGGUCAGCCCGCCUUAUCCCAGCCCCGAGACCCAAAACAAGAAGCAUGGACUGAAUUUGAGGUUUCUGGAUGGUCGUGUGAACCGAGGGGACGGGUACUGGACUGACAAGAAAUGAGCCUUGAAGGUCAAUCUGGGUGACACCCGAGUCUCCUGAUGGAGUUUCACUAUGUUGCCCAGGCUGAUCUGGAACUCCUGACCUCAAGCAAUCCACCUGCCUCAGCCUCCCAAAGUACUGGGAUUACAGGAGGGAGCCACCGUGCCCGGCCUGGUCCUGUGCAUUUUAUAGAUAAGGUAACUGACAAACCUAGCCACAGUCACCCCUUCGCCCUAAAGGAGAACUGGAAUUUGAACCCAGAGCCUUCUUCACCACCAUCUCCGUUGUUUCUGGAAGCACCCUCCAGGCAGGCCAGCCAGCAUCACGGGGCCUCCCCUGGGGCUGGAACGUCUGCAGGAUGCCCCUUUGAGAAAUGCUGUUCCACAGAACCCUGCCUUUCAGGCCUUGGAGACGUGGGCAGGGGAGAAGCAGCGUCCCUCAGAGCCAGGCCUGGCAGUGGUGCUAGCAGGGGCCAAGGCCCAGGGAGCAGGGUCUCCUGUCGGAGGGACCUGGGCAAGCCCCUCCACGCGCCAGCGGGUUUCUCAGCAGGGGAGGUCCACACCACACCGCUUGGGAACCUGGGUGCCUAAACGCAACAGGAGCCAAGGCACAAAUUUAACCAAACACCAAGGUUGCGUGAGGCCCCAUUUCAUGAGCCGGGCUCCAAGGACGUGUCCUUAGGCGGCUCUGGAAGGCCCAGCGCCAGCCCCCGUCCUCUGUUAAAGGGAGCCAGCCCCGCGGCUCCGCCCAGGCAUGGUAGCCUGAGCGCGCCCCCAGGGUAGUAGGGGGCACCUGAGGAGCAGGGUCUGCCCUGGCAUGAGCAGAGCCCAGGAUGGGGUCAGGGUCAGGCCCUGCCAGAGGCUGGAGGGUGCCCAAGGCGAGGCCGGUGAGGCCCAGCUCUACAAAUAAAGUGUUUUAUUUACAGGAGUUGUC